GAUGAACGCUGGCGGCGUGCCUAAUACAUGCAAGUCGAACGGGGAGUAGCAAUACUCUUAGUGGCGAACGGGUGAGUAACGCGUUGGUACCUGCCCCGAAGCGGGGGAUAACGGACCGAAAGGUCCGCUAAUACCCCAUGUGCUCGGUAACGAGUAAAGGUGAAAACCACUUUGGGAGGGGCCUGCGUCCCAUCAGCUAGUUGGUAAGGUAACGGCUUACCAAGGCGAUGACGGGUAGGGGACCUGAGAGGGUGGCCCCCCACAAUGGAACUGAAAUACGGUCCAUACACCUACGGGUGGCAGCAGUAGGGAAUAUUGGUAAUGGGCGCAAGCCUGAACCAGCAACGCCGCGUGUGCGAUGACGGCCUUCGGGUUGUAAAGCACUUUUGACUGGGACGAGGAAGGACGGUACCGGUCGAAUCAGCCUCGGCUAACUACGUG
rnacentral:rRNA from 1 species